CCAAUAAGAGCGAGGGAGAGAGAAAGACGCGGCCAGAGAGCCCCCGGUGCCUGUUGGCUCGCCUCUGAGAGGUUCUCCUUGCGCGCGCGUGAGUGUGUAUUUGCUGGGACUGAGGCUGGAAAGUUCAAACUAAACGUGUUGCUCUCGCCGGCUCCCGAGGCCGCGGCGGAGGCUGCCCAACUUCUCCGGGCCAAGCGACCGGCGGUGCCCAGCGCCCUUGGCGCGGCGGCUGUGGCCGCUCGGCCCUGCGCCCAGGCGCGGCGGCGGCGGCUCCGCUCGGCCCGGGAGGGAGCCCGCGGCCAGGCUGGACUCUCGCCCCGCCACCUCCAGCGACGCUCUCCACUCCGCCUCCGCGCCUGGCGACCGCAGAAAGCUUUGGAAGAUCUUCCGUCUGUGGGACAAAGUUGCCAGAAGCCACAGAUAAUUUCUACUCCCAUGUCAGGACUCCGCUUUUCAGUGACUUUAACUGUCCUCCUCUACAAGUCAAAACCUAAGUGGCUAAGUGAGUGAAGGAAGUGAAAUCAUCUUUGAUCACAGGUGCGGUUACUACAUUGCCCUAAAAAUCUUUCCGAGCAUUUCUUCUUUCAUCUUUUGCCUCCCUGGGUGUAAGAGCACUGAGAGAGAGAAGUGCUGACUCUCAGGGAGUCUCUGAGUAGCUGUGGAAUUGUCACAUCCAGCGAUUUUGGGGAACCUUAUCUCUAGAUUACCAAUAUGUAUUACUGGUUUUGGAAAGUGAGAUAUAAGGAUGAAUUUAUCUUAAUUGAUAUUUAAAGAUACUUUGAAAGUGAAUUUUCUAAGUCAUUGAAAGAUAUCCCUUUCUAGCACACUGACACUUAUUUAACAGUAAAUCUGGUUGAGGAACCCAGUGUUAAACAUGAAAAUGAAUUUUAUUUUCCUAUUUCUAAAAUGGACUGAUAACAGUUUAUCAAGAAGUUUCCUUGACCUACCCAGUAGUCUGUGCUUCCUCUCACUGAAAUAAUUUAUUUUGCCCUUGGGCCUGAAAACUUUAACAUCAUCCCACUGAUUUCAUUAUCCAUUAUUUGGAGCCAUCUCGAUGGUGCAUACUUGUCAUAAUUUUAUUCGGUUAAUGGGG
rnacentral:lncRNA from 1 species